rnacentral:rRNA from 1 species
GUAAAGCUCUGUCUAGGGGGACGAUAAUGACGGUACCCCUGGAGGAAGCCCCGGCUAACUACGUGCCAGCAGCCGCGGUAAUACGUAGGGGGCGAGCGUUGUCCGGAAUUAUUGGGCGUAAAGGGCGUGUAGGCGGUUUGCUAAGUCAGGUGUGAAAACCUAAGGCUCAACCUUAGGCGUGCGCCUGAGACUGGCGAACUUGAGGGCAGGAGAGGAGAGCGGAAUUCCCGGUGUAGCGGUGAAAUGCGUAGAUAGCGGGAGGAACACCAGGGGCGAAGGCGGCUCUCUGGACUGAACCGUCAGAUGAGGCGAGAAAUCGUGGGGAGCGACAAUGAG